CCUACGGGCGGCAGCAGUGAGGAAUAUUGGUCAAUGGACGGAAGUCUGAACCAGCCAAGCCGCGUGCAGGAAGACGGCUCUGUGAGUUGUAAACUUCUUUUGUCCGGGGAUAAAGGCAGAUACGUGUAUCUGUCUGAGAGUAUCGGACGAAAAAGCAUCGGCUAACUCCGUGCCAGCAGCCGCGGUAAUACGGAGGAUUCAAGCGUUAUCCGGAUUUAUUGGGUUUAAAGGGUGCGUAGGCGGUCGGAUAAGUUAGAGGUGAAAGCCCGAGGCUCAACUUCGGAAUUGCCUUUGAUACUGGUAGGCUAGAGAGGAGUUGCGGUAGGCGGAAUGUAUGGUGUAGCGGUGAAAUGCUUAGAGAUCAUACAGAACACCGAUUGCGAAGGCAGCUUACCAAGCUACUUCUGACGUUGAGGCACGAAAGCGUGGGGAGCAAACAGGAUUAGAUACCCGAGUAGUC
rnacentral:rRNA from 1 species